AAAUCCAGGUUCUUGGGUUCCUGGGGGGCUCGGAUGGUUAAGGAUCCAACUCUUGAUUUCUGCUCAGGUCAUGAUCUCAGGGUU